rnacentral:misc_RNA from 1 species
CCUUAGUUCACGAAGUGCACCAACUUUCUUCUGCAUUGCACCUUUUCCUUGAAAAGCAAUAGCAGACUUCAACUCUUCCACUGCCGACAAAGUUUGAGCCUCCAGAAUCGAUUGCUCUUCGUCAAUCAUCAUGUCACUGUCAAGAGGAAUAUCACUAUCACCACUAAUCCCUACUCUGCAAAGGCGCUUUGCCCGCACUAAUGAUUCUCUCCUUUCCUUACCCACAGCCACAGCAUUCUGCCGUCUCUUCUGUGCCGCAACACUCCCAACUGAAGACUUGAUAGGGUCUCUUUUAUGAGAAGCCAAUCCAUCUUCAGCCAUUAUAGAAAGCUUUUGAGAAAGCAGAGAAGUGUUUGUGCAGCGGUAAGGUUUUGAAUGAGCAGAAAUGGGAACAGAAAACCCCCAAAAUGACAACGAUUCUCUGCAAUUCACU